AGAGCAGGUCGGGCGGUCGCCGCCAUGUCCGCGAGGGCAUGGGGGAGGAAAGUCCGAACACCGAAGGGCAGCGAGCCAGCUAACGGCUGGGCGCACGGCACGGAAGGGGCCGCGAGAGUGGCUCUCGAAGUCGCCGGGCGACGACAAGUGCAACAGAGAAGAGACCAGCCAGCGGGCCUCGCUUCUAAGGGAGCGCGGCAGCGGGUGAUGGGUGAAACGGUGCGGCCCCACGGGGCUUAAAGUAAGAGCGCACCGGCGCGCGUGGUGACACGCGCGGCCAGGCAAACUCCUCGCGGUGCAAGACCAAAUAGGGAGGCUGUCAGAGAGGGCUGCCCGUCCGAAGUCGCGCAAGCGCAAGUUUGCGCGCUACGCCUCCGGGUAGGUCGCUUGAGCCGUUCGGCGACGAACGGCCUAGAGGAAUGAUCGCCGCCCCGAAACCGUGCGCGGAUUUCGGGGGACAGAAUUCGGCUUACAGACCUGUUCUCGAA
rnacentral:RNase_P_RNA from 1 species